GAUGAACGCUGGCGGCGUGCCUAAUACAUGCAAGUCGAGCGAACGGACGAGAAGCUUGCUCCUCUGAUGUUAGCGGCGGACGGGUGAGUAACACGUGGAUAACCUACCUAUAAGACUGGGAUAACUUCGGGAAACCGGAGCUAAUACCGGAUGAUAUUUUGAACCGCAUGGUUCAAUAGUGAAAGACGGUCUUGCUGUCACUUAUAGAUGGAUCCGCGCUGCAUUAGCUAGUUGGUAAGGUAACGGCUUACCAAGGCAACGAUGCGUAGCCGACCUGAGAGGGUGAUCGGCCACACUGGAACUGAGACACGGUCCAGACUCCUACGGGAGGCAGCAGUAGGGAAUCUUCCGCAAUGGGCGAAAGCCUGACGGAGCAACGCCGCGUGAGUGAUGAAGGUCUUCGGAUCGUAAAACUCUGUUAUUAGGGAAGAACAUAUGUGUAAGUAACUGUGCACAUCUUGACGGUACCUAAUCAGAAAGCCACGGCUAACUACGUG
rnacentral:rRNA from 1 species